AAUCAGUCUUUGUUUUCUCUCUGAGUUUCUAGGGUUUUCGCCGCCGCUAUUCAACAUCAUCCCUUCGUUGAACUUCAAGCCACCAAGCCACCGUUGGUUUUUUCGUUCUCUCCUUAUAGCUCUAUAACACAAACGUUUUCAAUGGCGAACAUACCCUCAAGAACGUUUUCAAUGCUGUUGUAACCAACAGAGUUUUAUUUUGGUUCAAGGAUUCUUCCACUUAAUACAAGGAAAAGAUGCAAUUCACACAAGGAGUUCAAAACAUUCAUGUUGAUGGGAACACACAAGGAACUAGGAGCUUUCAAGAUCAUUCUGUACCUUCUCAACCUAAUGAUACAGUCAUGGAGCAAGACACUCCAACAGCAACAGCACCCAUUGAACCAACCGCACCACUUCCUCCUAUUAGUCGGAAGAAAAGAAGAGCUAAU